rnacentral:lncRNA from 1 species
GCCCCUUCCACCGCGGGGGAAAGCCGUGUGUGCCCCUUCCCCCGGGGUGGAAAGCCGUGUGUGCCCCUUCCCCCGCGGGGAGCGGCGUGUGUGCCCCUUCCCCCAGGGUGGAACGCCGUGUGUGCCCCUUCCCCCGCGGGGAACAGCGUGUGUGCCCCUUCCCCUGCGAGGGGACGAGCGGGGCCUCCCUCCCAGCUGCAGAGGCUUGCGCAGCCCCCGCUGAGCAGGGGAGGGAGAGCGAGCAGCGCUGCUCUGCAGGCCAGCUGCAAGUGCUGGAUUUUCCCCUUCUUUCUGGUCGAUGGGAAACAUGCAAGAAAAAGGCCGACGUGUCCUCACUGAGCAGUCCACCCACGCUCUGAGCUGUGGAGAAAGGAAUGGAAUGCUUUCCUUCUGCAGAGGAUAUCAUUUACUACACACAAACUGUAUUCUGUAAAACCAGUGAAGAGCCUUUGUCUCACUGUAGAGGCUGUGUAACUGUGUAAUGUAUUUGUAUAUCCCCUGUAAUCAAAGAGAAAAAGAGGCUGUGCAGAAUGAGACAUAGGAAUUGCCAUACUGGAUUAGAGCCAUCUGCUUCAGUAUCCUGUGUGAACCCAGACAGAAAAAAAAAGCUCUGUUGAGGAAGGGAAUGUGCAUCUCUUUUUUUUAAAAAAAAAACCUUCAAAAAUACUGCAGUAUGUUUCUGCAUAUUAAAAAAAUUACUUCAAUAGUUAGCAUGCAUCUUGGAACCUUAAUUUCUAUUUGCUUUUUAUUUCUAUACAAUGAUAAAUACUCCUGUUAGUCAUUAAAAAAUGGCAUUAUUUCAAUCCAAGUCCAUUUGAGUGUGGCAACGGUUUCUCUUCCUCCAAGUUACUUUUGUAUUGCCACUGUUUUUAACAAAGGAUAAAUCUAGUCAGAAAGACUCCAUUUCUGUCAGUACUAGCGGAGAUGAGGGAGCAGGUGUCCACAUUUUGAUGCUUUGAAUUUUGCACCUUCCCUACAAGUCUUCAUCUGAAAAGCAGCACGUUGUUACCACUUUGUGGAGCAGCUUCCCUCCAGCUUUCCCCUGGAGCACAACUGGAUGCACUCAGCCACCCAGCCCUUUGGCAGGAAUGGUAUCUCUGUGAUCAGCAACUGCCCGAGUGUGACAGGCAUUGA